rnacentral:lncRNA from 1 species
UUGAUAUUGACGUGACCCUUCUCUUUGUGAAGGCACAUGGCACUUUGCACUGUGUCAUGAAUCCUUUUGGUUUGGUGGGGUGGGUACCCCCUACCUCUAUUUAUGUGAUAAAAGCUAGGAUUAUACUGAAGGUCCCUUUACCUCAGUAUAAAAUUUGUUUUUGUUUUUUUCAAUUGCCUAAUCUAGGCUGCUUGGAAAAAGUUACAUUGGUGCCGGGAUUCAGCCCUUGCCUGGACAGAGGUGGCCGCUAGAGUCAUCAGCAUGGACACUGGCACCAGUGACUACAUAGGUCCCAGGAUCGUAGCCAGCCACCUCGGGUGCCUCCGGAGACCACUUGAGAAGUGCAGAGACUGUGGGCCAGCCCCUCAUUCUUGUCUGAGACAGUGAUGCCCUCCCCACUCAGUAAUUAUGCACAGCUAGCAGAGGUGGGAGCUGGGUUCUCCCACACCCUGCAGCAAAUCGGAAAUCCCAGGGUGAGGACAGGAGGAUAGAAUUGUUGUGCCAGCUCAGCACCCACUCCUCUUGUGUGCCCAGGCAGGCUGCUGAGAUCCCCCAGCAUUCUGGGCUGGGCAAGAACUCAGAUUUCCACCUGAGGUUGGAGAAGCUUCAGAGUUCAGCCCCUGACCAGCAGAGUCCUGGGAGAGAGGGCAGUGCUAGCAGAUAAAAUCUCAGCCAAUGGGGCUGUGCAGGUGGCCCCAAGGCCUCCAGCUCCACAGAUAAGAAUCAGAAGCACAGCCAUCUCAAUUAGAAAGCAAUUUGAGUUAUCACGCUAAUUAAAGGGGUGUGCAGGCACAAGACCUGACUAGAUCUAGAUCCCUAACGUUAACAAAAAUCAGAUGGUUGAGAAUAAGAAUUUCACAUAAAUAGAAAUGUGAAAGUACGAUGUGCAACUGAGAAGUUGCCAUGAUUUUUUCUUUUCAGGCUGUUGGCAGCUCUGAAAUGAAUGGCUUCAUUUAAUCACAAAAGAAGGAAUACCAGCAAGACCACCCAGGCCCCAGCUCCGGUUUUUCCUGAAGAAUUUGGCCGCAUCUCCCUUUUUGAAGGCAGAGUUUCAUCUUAUCAUACCAAUCACCUCUGAGAAGCCCAAUCACUACAACCACUAACCACAACAUAAAUCAACGUGAGGACCUGAGAGCUCGCUUGCUCCCACUCUGUCCCUAGCCCAGCCUGGUUUUUCCAUCACAUGCUUCUUAGGCAGCAGGGAGCUGAGGCAGGGGGAACAUUUAGUUCCUUUUUCAAAGACUGGGAACACUUAAAAAUAUCUCCAAGUAAGCAACCAGCAUUCAGAGGAUGCUUAUUUACACUUUGUAGGAGCCUGGUGUUGGGACUCUGGCUCCUGGAUGGCGUCAAACCUGCCCUUGGGCUUGGCCGAGGCUGGUCUGGGAGUACCAUUUGCAAAUGGCUCUUGCUUCACGGUUGCAUCUCCAUCUGGGUAAACAACCUAGCGACAGCGCUGGCUCUUCUUAAGGCUGUCUGUUAUGGACUGAACUGUGUCCCUCUCAGAUUCACUUGUUAAAGUCCUGACCCCAGUACACCUCAGAAUGUGACUGUAUAUAGAAAUAGGGCAUGUAAAGCAGUCAUGACGGUUAAGUAAGGUCAUAUGGAUUGGCUCUAGUUCAAACGUGACUGGUAUCCUUCUAAGAAGAGGAAGAGACACCAGAGCUCACUCUCUUUCCACGCACACAAUGGCCAUGUGAGCACACUGUGAGAAGAUGCCAUCCGCAAGCCAAGAAGAGAGGCCUUGGGAGAAACCAAACCUGCUGUCACCUUGAUCUUGGACUUCCAGCCUCAAGAACUGUGAGAAAAUAAAUUUCUGCUGUUUAUUCCACCCAAUUUGUGGCAUUUUGUUAUGGCAGCCCAAGCCAACUAAGAUACCAUCCAUGUAAUUUCUUCUUGUAUGGCAAGGUCUUAACAUGAGACAUGAAUGAAUCAAUGGCCAUUUCUAUGCAGAAAUUUAAAAGCAUUCUUGAGUUCUCAUGGGGAGAUUUAAAUUCUCCAUAUAUGAACCCCUCUAGCCUGUACUUUCUUAUAGGAAAAUUCUCUGUGAGAUUGGAAUAUUCCAGAAGUUAACCAAAAGGAUCUUAAUUUACACUCUAUCUCCUAUUCCUCACAUUCCUAGUACUGUUAAUUACUCUCCUUCCUCAACCUCUGCUCCAUCCCUUUGGCAAGCCCAUGCAUUUAGUAGAUGUUUAUUGAGUGCUUCUCUAGGCCAGCUUAGGCUUUAGGCACUGGAGGUACGGGAAUGAAGAAAACAGAUAAGGCACGUGCUCUCACGUGGCUUCCAUCCUAGCAGAGGAAAACAGAAAUAAAAAUAAAUAAAUAAAUAAAUAAGGACUAUGUCAGAUAGUGAAAAGCUAUUCAGGAAUUUUAAAUACAGCAAUGCAAGAAUGACUGAGAGCCUGCUUUGGUUAGGCAGACAGGAACUCUGUCCUUUCCAACUAAAAACCAUUCUACUCCCUCUUCUCUUCUUUCCAUCAGCAUAACUACCCCUUGAGUGCAAGCUCCUGGGCUGGGCUCCUGCAAAAGCAUUCUAAUUGACCUCUCUGCCACCUCCUUUGCACCACUGCAGUUCAUUUUCCACAUAGCAGCUAGGGAAAUAUGUAAAAAACAAAGCUGGUUUUCAUUAUUCACAAUAGCUGUGUUCUAUAAAGUUGCUUCAAACCCUGAAUUCUGGAAUACUGAAGCAUUGCUC